rnacentral:rRNA from 1 species
GGAAGGAUCAUUCACAAUGAGUGUUUUAUGGCACUCUUUAAAAAUCCAUAUCCACCUUGUGUGCAAUGUUUGUUGGGAGAGAGGCAACUCUUUCCCUUCACAAAUAUCAACCUAUAUUUUUAACAACAUUCGUCUGAUAACAUAUUAUGAAUAUACUUAAUUCAAAAUAUAACUUUCAACAACGGAUCUCUUGGCUCUCGCAUCGAUGAAGAACGCAGCGAAAUGCGAUACGUAAUGUGAAUUGCAGAAUUCAGUGAAUCAUCGAAUCUUUGAACGCAUAUUGCGCUCUUUGGUAUUCCGAAGAGCAUGCUUGUUUGAGUAUCAGUAAACACCUCAACCUCCUCUUGUUUUUUCAAAAGGAGGGUGGACUUGAGCUAUCCCAACAACCUUCACCGGUAGGCGGGCGGCUUGAAAUGCAGGUGCAGCUGGACUUUUAUCUGAGCUAAAAGCAUAUCUAUUUAGUCCUCGUCAAACAGGAUUAUUACUAUUGCUGCAGCUAACAUAAAGGAUAAUUGUCCUCAUUGCUGACUGAUGCAGGAUUUUACGACACUUUAUGUGUUGUUCAACUCGAUCUCAAAUCAAGUAAGACUACCCGCUGAACUUAAGCAUAUCAAUAAGCGGAGGAAAAGAAACUAACAAGGAUUCCCCUAGUAACGGCGAGUGAAGCGGGAUGAGCUCAAAUUUGAAAUCUGGCUGGUUUACUAGUCCGAGUUGUAAUUUAAAGAAGCGUUUUCGGUGGCAGCCUGGGUAUAAAUCCUUUGGAAUAGGGUAUCAUAGAGGGUGAGAAUCCCGUCUUUGACCUAGUGCAUGCUACUAUGUGAUACGUUUUCAAAGAGUCGAGUUGUUUGGGAAUGCAGCUCAAAAUGGGUGGUAAAUUUCAUCUAAAGCUAAAUAUUGGCGAGAGACCGAUAGCGAACAAGUACCGUGAGGGAAA